GUUGUGCAUUAAAUACCUGCCCCUGCUUGUAUGUUUCCAGGACCCUUAGCGGAGGACAGCAUCCUGACGGCUAAGCCCCCACGGAGACAAGCAGAGCUCUGCAAAGGCAGGACCAUCAGCUACAGAGCAAGGAGGAGCUGAAAAGCUUUGCAGUUCCUUCAGUUUUCGGUGACCCGGGAGUGAAGCUUGAUGAGUCUGACAGAUGAGCUGCUUGGCAAACUCCUCAGGUCGGACAUCUGUAAACGCUUUGGCGUUUCCCCUGAUGUCCUUUGUCUUCAGCAGUGUAUCCAGGGAUGGCUGGGAGCACAGAGAGCAGCAGGGCCACCAGGGUGUCAGCAGCAGAAGCUUGGGUGGCCUCCCUUCCGGCUUUAUCAGCUGGCCUGGUCCCUUGGGCUACUGCUGAUGUCCCUUCUGAUGCCCAGGGCAAUGAAUUAUGGGCACUUUUCAAGGAAGCCAUGAUGCCUCCAAUAAAGCAAGU
rnacentral:lncRNA from 1 species